AUUGAACGCUGGCGGCAUGCUUUACACAUGCAAGUCGAACAGAAACAUGAAAGAGCUUGCUCUUUUGAUGUCGAGUGGCGAACGGGUGAGUAAUACAUCGGAACAUGUCCUUUUGUGGGGGAUAACUACUCGAAAGAGUAGCUAAUACCGCAUAAGACCUGAGGGUGAAAGCGGGGGAUCUUCGGACCUCGCGCAGAUGGAGUGGCCGAUGACUGAUUAGCUAGUUGGUGGGGUAAGGGCCUACCAAGGCGACGAUCAGUAGCUGGUCUGAGGGGACGACCAGCCACAUUGGGACUGAGACACGGCCCAAACUCCUACGGGAGGCAGCAGUGGGGAAUUUUGGACAAUGGGGGGAACCCUGAUCCAGCCAUGCCGCGUGCAGGAAGAAGGCCUUCGGGUUGUAAACUGCUUUUGUUAGGAACGAAAAGGUGGAUACUAAUAAUGCCUACUGAUGACGGUACCUAAAGAAUAAGCACCGGCUAACUACGUGCCAGCCGCCGCAGUAACAC
rnacentral:rRNA from 1 species